rnacentral:rRNA from 1 species
CCUACGGGAGGCAGCAGUGAGGAAUAUUGGUCAAUGGACGCAAGUCUGAACCAGCCAUGCCGCGUGAAGGAUGAAGGCGUUUGCGUUGUAAACUUCUUUUAUUGGGGAAGCGGUACCCAAGGAAUAAGCACCGGCUAACUCCGUGCCAGCAGCCGCGGUAAUACGGAGGGUGCAAGCGUUAUCCGGAUUUACUGGGUUUAAAGGGUGUGUAGGCGGACUUUUAAGUCAGGGGUGAAAUCCCGAGGCUCAACCUCGGAACUGCCUUUGAUACUAUUGGUCUUGAAUGUUGUUGAGGUGGGCGGAACGGGUCAUGUAGCGGUGAAAUGCAUAGAUAUGACCCGGAACACCGAUUGCGAAGGCAGCCCGCUAAGCAACAUUGACGCUGAGGCACGAAAGCGUGGGGAUCAAACAGGAUUAGAUACCCUUGUAGUC